rnacentral:rRNA from 1 species
AGAACGAACGCUGGCGGCAGGCUUAACACAUGCAAGUCGAACGCGUGUAGCAAUACACGAGUGGCGCACGGGUGAGUAACGCGUGGAUAUCUGCCUUUUGGUUCGGAAUAACCCCGGGAAACUGGGGCUAAUACCGGAUGGUUCCUACGGGAUAAAGAUUUAUCGCCAAAAGAUGAGUCCGCGUCCGAUUAGCUAGUUGGUGGGGUAAUGGCCUACCAAGGCGACGAUCGGUAGCUGGUCUGAGAGGACGAUCAGCCACACUGGGACUGAGACACGGCCCAGACUCCUACGGGAGGCAGCAGUAGGGAAUCUUGCGCAAUGGGCGAAAGCCUGACGCAGCCAUGCCGCGUGAAUGAUGAAGGUCUUAGGAUUGUAAAAUUCUUUCAGCGGGGACGAUAAUGACGGUACCCGCAGAAGAAGCCCCGGCUAACUUCGUGCCAGCAGCCGC